GGAGCGAACCAGAAGCUGAAGAAGAUCGAAAGCGGCAGCCAGCCACCGUCGCCGCCCGUUCCGCCACCCCGCGUCCGCCGCUCGCCGCCGUGCGCCGCCUGCCCUCUCCUCCGCCCAGGCGUCCCUUCCCCAUGCGAGACAGCUCUGCUCCGCCUCUGUCCAGCUCGAUCCGGCCACCUCCGGCCACCGCCUACCUCCGUCCGGCCACCUCGCAGCUCCCCGGCGUCCCCCUCACCUUCCGCCGGCCUUCCCUCGCCGUUUUGGCCGCCGGAGCAGCCCCGGCCAGCCCCGACCAGCAACCCACGAAAUGGGUUUCCAGAGGCUUUAGGCCCGCUUUUGGGCCGUUUCCGGGCCCCGGAUCCGUGAGUCGCUUUGGGAACAAUCGUUCCUCGCGUCGCCGCCAUCGGAUUGAUCCGAUUUGCGCGCGAUUUGGAUCCCGCUGAAGAGCUGAGAAGGAAGAAUCCGAGAAGGAGGACUCGGAGGCGAAUCUUAAGGA